rnacentral:rRNA from 1 species
AAACCAGCACCUCAAGUGGUCAGGAUGAUUAUUGGGCCUAAAGCAUCCGUAGCCGGCUCUGUAAGUUUUCGGUUAAAUCUGUACGCUCAACGUACAGGCUGCCGGAAAUACUGCAGGGCUAGGGAGUGGGAGAGGUAGACGGUACUCGGGAGGAAGGGGUAAAAUCCUUUGAUCUCUCGAUGACCACCUGUGGCGAAGGCGGUCUACCAGAACACGUCCGACGGUGAGGGAUGAAAGCUGGGGGAGCAAACCGGAUUAGAAACCCCAGUAGUCC